rnacentral:rRNA from 1 species
UACGUAGGGUGCGAGCGUUAAUCGGAAUUACUGGGCGUAAAGCGUGCGCAGGCGGUUUUGUAAGCCAGAUGUGAAAUCCCCGGGCUUAACCUGGGAAUGGCAUUUGGGACUGCAAGGCUUGGAGUGCGGCAGAGGAGACUGGAAUUCCUGGUGUAGCAGUGAAAUGCGUAGAUAUCAGGAGGAACACCGAUGGCGAAGGCAGGUCUCUGGGCUGACAACUGACG